GACGAACCGAGCGAACGUUAUUCGGAAUCACUGGGCUUAAAGGGCGCGUAGGCGGGCCGUCAAGUCAGGGGUGAAAGCCCCCAGCUCAACUGGGGAAGUGCCCUUGAUACUGACGGCCUCGAGGGAGAUAGGGGCGUGCGGAACUUCCGGUGGAGCGGUGAAAUGCGUAGAUAUCGGAAGGAACACCGGUGGCGAAAGCGGCGCGCUGGAUCUCUUCUGACGCUGAGGCGCGAAAGCCAGGGGAGCGAACGGG
rnacentral:rRNA from 1 species